rnacentral:rRNA from 1 species
GACGAACGCUGGCGGCGUGCCAAACACAUGCAAGUCGAACGGAUUUGAGGGGCUUGCUCCUCAAGUUAGUGGCGCACGGGUGAGUAACGCGUGGAUAAUCUACCCAAUGCUCAGGGAUAACAUCUCGAAAGGGGUGCUAAUACCUGAUAAGCCCACGGGCUCUUCGGAGUUUGCGGGAAAAGGGGGGGACCUUCGGGCCUCCCGACAUUGGAUGAGUCCGCGUCCCCUGAGCUAGUUGGUGGGGUAAAGGCCUACCAAGGCGACGAUGGGUAGCUGGUCUGAGGGGAUGAUCAGACACACUGGAACUGAGACACGGUACAGACUCCUACGGGAGGCAGGAGUGGGGAAUUUUGCGCAAUGGGGGAAACCCUGACGCAGCAACGCCGCGUGAGUGAUGAAGGCCUUUGGGUCGUAAAGCUCUGUCAGAGGGAAAGAAAUGUGGGUGGUUAAUAGCCGUUCCACUUGACGGUACCCUCAAAGGAAGCACCGGCUAACUCCGUGCCAGCCGCCGCCGUAACAC